rnacentral:rRNA from 1 species
AACGAACGCUGGCGGCAGGCUUAACACAUGCAAGUCGAGCGCCCCGCAAGGGCAGCGGCAGACGGGUGAGUAACGCGUGGGAAUCUACCCAUCUCUACGGAAUAACGCAUGGAAACGUGUGCUAAUACCGUAUACGUCCUUAGGGAGAAAGAUUUAUAGGAGAUGGAUGAGCCCGCGUUGGAUUAGCUAGUUGGUGGGGUAAAGGCCUACCAAGGCGACGAUCCAUAGCUGGUCUGAGAGGAUGAUCAGCCACACUGGGACUGAGACACGGCCCAGACUCCUACGGGAUGCAGCAGAGUGGAAUAUUGGACAAUGGGCGCAAGCCUGAUCCAGCCAUGCCUCGUGAGUGAUGAAGGCCCUAGGGUUGUAAAGCUCUUUCACCGGUGUAGAUAAUGACGGUAACCGGAGAAGAAGCCCCGGCUAACUUCGUGCCAGCCGCCGCCGUAACAC